UGCCAGCAGUCGCGGUUAUACCGAGAAAUUAAGUCAUAUUUAAACGGUAAAAAGACAGUUAGAUAUAAUUAUUUUGGGUUUGUUUGACUUUCUAUAAAAAGGUAAAAUUUGUAUAUAGUUAUGAAAUUUAAUUUUAAACCAAAAAGUUGAAUCUGUGAUAGCCUAGAGGGAAACUGGGAUUAGAUACCCCACUAUUCUUGGAUGUAAAUUAAGUUUAAUUUACCCGAGUACUACGAAUACACAAAAUUUAAAACUCAAAGGACUUGGCGGUAUUUCAGACCAUUUAGGGGAACCUGUCUCAUAAUCGAUAGUCCACGUUACACCUAACCUUUUUUUGCUUUCAGCUUGUAUAUCGUUGUCGUCAGGUAACUUUUUAGAAGCUAGAAGUUAGCUAAAAAUUAAGUAAGUUUAAACGUCAAAUCAAGGUGCAGUUAAUAAAAAGGUGAGGAUGGGUUACAAUUAUUUUAUUUAUAAUUACGGAAAAUCAUAAGAAUUGAUGAUUAUAAGGAGGACUUAAAAGUAAAUUAGAUUAUAUAAAUAACUUGAAUAAGGCUCUGAAAUGUGCACACAUCGCCCGCCACUCU
rnacentral:rRNA from 1 species